CAAAGAACUUGAUACCUAUCAUGCAAUGAACACAUCUUAAUCUGUUGCAGAUGCAGAUGCUACUGGCAUCAUCACCGCCUAAUAAUGACGUAUGAAAGAGAUUCUAUGGUACUGUACUCUGCUGGAUUCAAACCUAGAUUUUUACAAACUUAUGUGGCUUCGUCUUGGGACUGUUCUCCGCUGGUGUCUGAACUCACAAUCUAGGUUUAG
rnacentral:misc_RNA from 1 species